ACUGGUCACGCCUAACUACAAGUUACACGAAGUCACGCCCGGCUCUUACCGCAUUGCUAUUGUCAUAGCUAUUAAAGCAGUUAGAACGAAUUUCAAUGGACCUGAGUUAAAAUUAACCUCAUUUCUUUGUCCAUAAAAAAUAUUUCGGGAUGCGAGGCCACAAGCAGGUGGGAAAUGUGCAUUUGGGCUGCAGGGUGCCUGUCCUGGCUGUGGAAACACGUUUUUUCAACCGGAAACCAGAAGAUCCAGAUACCCUUGCCCAUUCAUCAGGCCCAGAUACUGGCCAUCACUUAAAAUUUGGGAGACUCCAGAGGAAACUAGAGGUGGGAAUGGCAGCAGCUUGGAAGAAGAGAGAGACCUUCAGAGCGAGGACUGGUCGGGGUGUCUGUUCUUUCGGCGCAGUCUUGGCAAUUGGCAGAAAUAAAUUUUAAAAUGCCCUCGUUGUCUUCUACCACA